UGAAGCCGUUGGCAGGCACCCCAGUGGUGGUGGCAAAAUGGUUUCCAUCAGCUCCUGUCCUUCAUCCUGUUCUCUCCCCAGCUUAGGCAGAAGGAACAUUGCUCUUCCCCUACCUUCAGGGUGGUGAUUUAGGAACCUAGGCUUCUUUUGUUUUGUGGUGCUGCCAUCCCUGAGGACCAUGAAUUUCUCUGCCUCCAGUUGGCGAAUGGGAGAAGAAAGAGUGGAGAAGGUAUAUCCACUUCUCACCCACCUUGGCUCAGAGGAGAUCUUCACCACUUCCGCUCCAUUCCUAUGGGGUAUCUUUGUGCUGAUGUGUCCAUCAAGAGAACAUACACAGAAGUGACACUUGCCAGUAAUUUGCAAGCAGAUGGAACUUCAAUAUGGCAAUAGAGAAAUAAUCAAUUAGACCAGAGUCUCCUCAGGAAGACUUUCUAUAGGCAUUGUUUGGAGCCUGGGGAUACAGAGGGGAACAAUACAGACAGCGUGUCUGUUUCAACGAAUUUAUAUGCUGGUGGUGGAAAUAAAUAUCUGGUGAGCAUCUACUAGAUGCCAGGGUUGGGGAGAGUCAAGUUGAAGCAAGCAUGAACCCUCAAGGACCUACCAUUUCAAG